GAACGCACCGUCAGUGCUGCUCGUCUGAGAGCGAUCGUCGUCUAAACGAUCUGUGGUGUGUGCGUCUAUGAAGCCCAACCACACACCCUCACGCAAAAAUUGAUAAACAGCUUGAACCUUAUUAAAGGACUCCGCCUCUUUUUCAUGCACUCAGAAGAACUGUACAAAAGUGUCCUGACCCGACACCCUGUAGUGAUUGCUGCCACCUAAGAUCCCUAUAGUCUACCGUACAAUUAUUAAUGCAGGUUGUAAACUUAGCUUGCAUUUAGUACUUUCUUAUGUAAAAAAUGAUGGAAACACACAAAAUUAGCAUCAAAUUUCAGCCAUGUUAUAAUAUAUGCUGGGUUAAUUUGAUGGUUUUAGUACAUUUAAUGACGGAAAUGAUACAUGCAAUCCAACCUUAAAAAUCCAGUCUUAACCUUAACCCUCAUCCCAAGACUAAGCCUUCUUGUGCAGUCAUAGACUAUUUUAACUUACUUAUUUUAUUGUUCUAUUGCUUUAUCCCUUUUACUCUGUCAUUCUUAUGUGUUCUUAUCAUAUUGGCCUUAAUUUGUUUUAAUUUGUUGUUAUCUUAUUAGAUUAACUCUGUAAAACUGAUAAUAUAUUAACAUUUCAUCCACAAACAGUCCACCACUUAUUAUUAUGAUUGUAUCUCCUUGCAUCGCUUCACACCCUCUCUCUCUUCUCUCUCUCUCUCUCCUCCUCGUCACUGUGUUCAUAAAGACAACCCGAUGGAUUUUCACUACACGGUUCAUCAUUGGUUGCUUAGUCGGACGUGGGUGUGUUUAAUUUCCCUCACUCUGUCUGACUAAAACAGCUGAAACACGGCGACUUGUUGACUUGCACGGCUGCACAGCGUAGUGAUACGGGCCUGAAUAGAGUGUGACAUACUGAUCCGCAGCAGUUUUAUUGUUACAUAACAUAUGCAUGUAUGUUUGUGCUUUAAAACCCAAACUCUCUCUCUCUCUCAGAACUUUUUUCUUGGCUACGGACCGGGGCGAGCGCGCCGAACCGGACCCUCAUUAAAUGAUUUAACCACGUUGCAUCCACUCUUUCCCUGGGUCGGUGUCAUACAACUUAAUAUUCAAAAAUCCGAACUGUCCCUUUAAUAAUCUUUAUUAUUUCCCAAACAGCUUCUGAAUGUAGAUCAGUAUCUCAACUUGAUACAACAAUACAAUAUGUGUGUGUCUGUUUUGUGCAGCUGUAUCAGCUUCUAUUGUGAACAUACAAACAGUUGAAAACAACAUGCAUUCACCUUGUAUCUGACUCCAGGCUUGAAGUAACCCAAGAAGGUGGAAGAUUCUUCAUUUUGAAGCUCAGUGCAUUGUAUUGGUUUGC